rnacentral:lncRNA from 1 species
CAUCAGGAACCCCAGCCCGGGCAGGGAGACCUAGGCAGUGUCCUCAUCGGCCUCCCCGCCUAUGCCAGUGACCAUACCACCAAGUCUCUCUGCGUCUGUUUUCUGCUCUGAACAGUGGAGCUCAUGAUGGCAUUAGAGCAACACCCAUUUUACUGUGUUGUGAGGAGUAAAGAUCAUAAUGGACAUAGGUGCUCUUGAUUCAUUUGGGAAAAAAGAGGGGCAUGGGGCAGGGAUUUGCUUGUGGAAUAGUGCUCUGAGGGCAGGGAAAGCAGGUAGCUAUUUUUAUGGGAACCACACACAACCCUAAUACUGUAGGAGUUGAAAGAACAAGCUUUUAGGAUGGCUCCCAGCACUGCCCCUUGGGAGCUGUCUGCCUUGGGCACUCUUUGCCAUAGGCGCUGUCUGUCGGUGCCCCAACGACGUCUUCAUCCUGGAAUUCAAUCAGACCUCAAAGCCCCGUGGUGAUAAUCAAAAGUAUCAAUAUGUGGCAAAGGUGUAGAAGAGUGAUUGGCUUGUAGGAAGCACUUAAGGCAGGUGCACAAUCAACUUUGUGAUUACUACUAAUAUAAUAAAGCAGCAGGUUGUUUACUCUGAUGUCCCGUGGACCCCUUAAGUAUUUCUGGAGCCAGGCCUAUGUCUGCAAAAUGAUGAGUUCCUGCCCCAGAGAGCUACAGCAUCUUUCUGUAAAACCAUAAUUGAUUCAGACUGCACCUAACUAACCUAGCCAGAAAGUUGGAAUUUCAAGAUGACCAACUAGACCUUUAAUAGUUCAGUGCUUUUAUAGUUCAUGUCCAGGGUCACAUGUCACUGGGAAACAAACCUCCAUCCUUCUGUCCUGUGAAAUGGGUACUCAUCCUCAAGGUGGUAGAAAGGAGAGGCUGCUUUCCACUCUGUUGAUGUUGUUAAGUCCUUGCUUAAAGGGUAAGACUGGGAGGUCCCAGGAAGGCAGCCUGAACAAUUUCUCUUCUCUCUGGGUUUGCCACAGACACUUCAGUGCCUGCCUUCCUGACAGUGGGAUACGCCGGGUGAUUCACCAGGUUCAGUCUGGGAGGAGGCGUGGAGGAUCCUGCCUAUCUUCUCAGACACGCAAAGUCCCAGGUUUUGUUUUCCGAGUCUUGGCGUCCCCAGCCAAAGUUCCUGGGUACUGGCUGCCACCCAUGGGAGAGGGGAACACCCACCAGCUCCACCCCAUAGGACAUUGCUAGGGCCUUAGUCACCUAGAAAAGCCCUCCACGUAUUUGCCUGGUUAAUGCAACAAUAGAAGGGUUACGCCCCAGCAACUUUGGUCUCCUCACUCGGUCACCUCAAGAAAGCCUCAUCAAACCUUUGCCAUGAAAGCACAAUGCCAGAAACGCGGCUGCGUGCCUGGCUUAGCCAUACUUGGGCUGCUCUUCAUUCAAAAAGGCCUCUGGCAGCCUCUCCUGAAAUCAUUUGGGCUCGAGAUGUCAUUCCCUGGUCACACCUAGAUUCUUAACUGAUUUGUUAAGAUUUAUGAAGAAAGGCUCCAUUCUCUUAUUCACUUGGCAAAUACUUUUUGGCUCCUGUUCAGAGGUGAUUGCAAGAAGCACACGGAGAAGUCAGAUGUGGUCUCCGGAGCUGUUCUGGCAGUUUUCACAAGGCCCAGGGGCAGGGUAGAGGUGCAUGAGGCCGGGGUGAGUUCUUGGCCUGAAGAUCUGAAGACAUAGACAAGUUGAGGUACUGCUAACAUCCCCUAGGGAGUCCCAGACUUUUGUGCCACCUGGGGUCAGGCAACAGGGAGUGGUAGGGCCUGCGGUAAACCAGAGAAUGCACGGGCUUUCUAGAGAGCAGCCGCCCUCCCGAGUAGCUGACUGCUGCCUUGUGGAAAUAAGUGCCCAGCUGAGCCAGAUCUCUUGUUUUGUCAAGAGAAGCCAGGAAUUUGGAGUUAUUGUGAAAUUUACGGUAUUUCAUGUUAACAACUAAUUUUUUAAAAAUUAUAUAUACACAUGGAAAGAUGCUCAACAUUGGUAAUCAUUAGGGAAAAACACACCAAAACUACAAUGAAAUACCACCUCACAUCCAUUAGGAUGGCCAUUAUUUUUUUAAAAAAGAAAAUAAGAAAUGUUGGUGAGAAUGUGGAAAAGUUGAAAUCCUUGUGCCCUGUCAGUAGGAAUGUAAAACGGUAUAGCCACUGUGAAAAACAGUAUGGCAGUUCUGCAAAAAAUUAAAAAUAGAACUACCAUAUGAUCCAGCAUUUCCACUUCUGGGUAUACUUCCAAAAGAACUGAAAGCAGGGAUACUAACAGAUAUUUAUACACCUCUGUUUGUAGCAGCGUUAUUCAUAAUAGCCAAACUGUACCAGGAACCCAAGUGUCCAUCAGUAGGUGAAUGGAUUAGCAAAAUGUGAUAUACGUGAGUGUAUACAAUGAGACAUUAUUUAGCCUUAAAAAGGAAGGAAAUUCUGACAGUGUUACAACGUGGAUGGGUCUUGAAGACAUCAUGCUAAGUGAUGUAAGCCAGUCACAAGAAGACAAAUGCUGCAUGAUUCCGCUUCUAUGAGGUACCCAGAAUUGUCAAAGUCACAGAGACAGAAAAUAGAAUGGUGGGUUGCCAGGAGCUGGGAGAGAAGAGAAUGGAGAAUUAGCAUUUAAUGGAUAUAGUUUCUGUUUUGCAAGAUAAAAAGAGCUCUGGAGAUG